rnacentral:rRNA from 1 species
CGUUGUUCGGAAUUACUGGGCGUAAAGCGCGCGUAGGCGGGUUGUUAAGUUAGAGGUAGAAAGUCCCGGGCUCAACCCGGAACUGUCCUUUAAUACUGGCAACCUAGAGUUCGAGAGAGGUGAGUGGAAUUCCGAGUGUAGAGGUAGAAAUUCGUAGAUAUUCGGAGGAACACCAGUGGCGGAAGGCGGCUCACUGGCUCGAUACUGACGCUGAGGUGACGAAAGUGUGGGGAGCAAACAGGAUUAGAUACCCUGGUAG